GUAUUGCAAUAGAGCUUCAAAUAAUUUGAGAUUUAGACUCACAGUAGACUGGAUUCAAACUGAUAUCUUUAUAAAAAAGAACAUUGUAAAACGUGAAUCUUCUCCAGGAAAUCCAGGAUCCUCAGGCUUCUGGAGUUCCUGCUGUUUCUGCUCAUGUCAUUGUGACAUUUCCCAUGGAAUCCAGCUCUGGACUUCAGGUGUAAGAAAACAUCCUCCUCUGGAUGCCACUUCAGUGAACAAUUUAUUGUGGGGAAAGGAGAGGAGUCAUUGUUCUUCUAAGCUUUACUAUCUGUGACAGUCACUAAACAGUGAGUAGCACUGUUUUUUUCAAGUCCACAAAAGGAGAGCAAUUGUGGUAGACCAAGAAGUGAUAGUAAGACCACUGACUCAUGAUUACUAUCAGCAGUAUUUUUUAGACCUCUAGUCCUCUUUGCCUGUUGCAACCCCAAAAUAGAGCAGUUGGUGGAAUCUGAAUUCUUUCAGAGUCCUCUGUGAGUAAACCAGCAGUAGCAAAUCUCGUUCCCUUCUGGGAACAGCCAAAGCAGAGAAUACAAAGUAAUAAUGCUCUGUCUGCCCUUCAUGAUCAAUCCAGA
rnacentral:lncRNA from 1 species